rnacentral:rRNA from 1 species
AAAAACAUGGUUUUAUGAAUUUAUAUUAAAUUUAAUCUGCUCACUGAGGUAUUAAAGAGCCGCAGUAUUAUGACUGUGCAAAGGUAGCAUAAUCAAUAGUUUUUUAAUUGAAUACUGGAAUGAAAGAUUGGACGAUAAAAUUACUAUCUUAAAUUUAAAAAUUGAACUUAUUAUUUAAGUAAAAAUACUUAAAUUUAUUUAAAAGACGAGAAGACCCUAUAGAUUUUUAUUUAUUUAAAAUUAUUUUUAUAAAUAAUUUGAAUGUAAAUUUAAUUGGGGUGAUUAUGUAAUAUAAAAAACUUAAUUUUAAUAAACCAUAAAUUAUUGAAUUUUUUGAUCUAAAAAUUUUAAUUAUAAGAUUAAAUUACCUUAGGGAUAACAGCGUUAUAUUAUUUAAGAGUUCGUAUCUAUAAUAAUAAUUGCGACCUCGAUGUUGAAUUAAGAAUUAUAUAGGAGUAGAAUCUUAUAGAAUGAGUCUGUUCGACUAUUAAAUUCUUAC